rnacentral:rRNA from 1 species
GGGGCUAGCGUUGCUCGGAAUCACUGGGCGUAAAGCGCACGUAGGCGGCUUUUUAAGUCAGGGGUGAAAUCCUGGAGCUCAACUCCAGAACUGCCUUUGAUACUGAGGAGCUCGAGUCCGGGAGAGGUGAGUGGAACUGCGAGUGUAGAGGUGAAAUUCGUAGAUAUUCGCAAGAACACCAGUGGCGAAGGCGGCUCACUGGCCCGGUACUGACGCUGAGGUGCGAAAGCGUGGGGAGCAAACAGG